rnacentral:lncRNA from 1 species
UGCCAAGAGCUAGAGCUUGGAUUUGAAGGGAAGAAAAGGUUGCAUUGACCAGUGGGCUUGGAAGAAUGCAAGGAAUAUAAUGUUUGAUGAGCUUUGGAGGUAUUUCAAUGGAAAAUAGGAAACCGGACCGUAAAGACGUAGAUUAUGAGUACUUUUCACAGAGAAGGAUUAAUGGGCUACAGUGCAUUGGUAGGAAUGUGAUUUCAAGACCACUAGCUAGACCACUUUGUCCACACUGAUAAGUGUGUAGGGGAGCUAAUAAAAACUAAAAUGAGACCUGAUGGAAAGGACAAGUAGUUCAAGGACCAAACUAAAAAGUUUAGAGUUUAUUUUAAAAGUCAUAGAGAGCCAAUAAAGGUUUUAAACAAAGAGCCUGUGCAUUGUUUAGGUUGAAAAUUGAGAUGUUGGUUAUGUCUGGAUAUCUCAGAGAAAGUGUGGACUCUGUGGCUCAGCAUUCCCUCAGCAGCAUGAAGUCCUAAGGGCUGUGCAUCCAUACUGAUCACUCACCAUGUGCGCACUCUGCUCCCUGUUGUGGGGCAUAUGAACACAGAUGUCCUGCACUAUUUAAUUAUUAGAAUGUCAGCCACAGAUCCAUGAAAAAAACUAAAGGGAAGGAGUAGGUUUUUACAUAUUUUUAAAAACAUCUUCCAAUUAUACUAUUUUCUGGGCAUUAAUAUAAGAACAUGAGAUAGGCCAUCAACAAAUUGUACAGCAUGAUUAUUAGUCUAGAAGUGCCAGGUAUGGAUUCCUGUUAUUAAAACAUCCUGCCAAGUAAUCAGGUAGCCACUGCUCAGUAACCAUUUAGUAAAUAUUUGGAAAGGAAAUGGGACAGGGCAGUGGGAUGAGUACAGUGUAAGUCCUCCUAUAAUCCAACCUAUACCAGAAACACGUAGAGCCUUUAGAGAUAGCACCACCUUACAGUAAUAGCAGGAGUUAGAACAAGGGAGAUGUGCUAUGGUUUGAAGUGGUUCAGCAAGAAGGGCUUAGGAGUUAGGUCAGUAGAGAGACAGCAUCGCAGGGCUAAAGACAGGACCAUCUGGUAUAUGGUAGUACAGGUGAUGUUAAUCAGUAACAGCUAAUGGAGAUUUAUUGAGUAGCCACCGAUUGUUCAUUGUCUGGUAAAACUUUUAGAGAAAGCUAACACACCUGUCUAACUAGGAACACAAGACACACAUAUAUGAAGAAGAGCAUGUUGCAUAAAACAGGUGUUCUAUAAAUACUUUUUGAAUAUAUGAAAAUAGUGAGCA